UAAGGAAUAUUGCGCAAUGGGGGAAACCCUGACGCAGCAACGCCGCGUGGAGGAUGACCCUUUUCGGAGCGUAAACUUCUUUUAUCAGGAAAGAAUAAUGACGGUACCUGAUGAAUAAGCACCGGCUAACUCCGUGCCAGCAGCCGCGGUAAUACGGGGGGUGCAAGCGUUACUCGGAAUCACUGGGCGUAAAGGACGCGUAGGCGGAUUAUCAAGUCUUUUGUGAAAUCUAGUGGCUUAACCACUAAACUGCUUAGGAAACUGAUAGUCUAGAGUAGGGGAGAGGUAGAUGGAAUUCUUGGUGUAGGGGUAAAAUCCGUAGAGAUCAAGAAGAAUACCCAUUGCGAAAGCGAUCUGCUGGAACCUAACUGACGCUGAGGCGUGAAAGCGUGGGUAGCAAACAGG
rnacentral:rRNA from 1 species